rnacentral:rRNA from 1 species
UACGUAGGGUGCAAGCGUUGUCCGGAAUUAUUGGGCGUAAAGAGCUCGUAGGCGGUUUGUCGCGUCUGCUGUGAAAACUCGGGGCUCAACUCCGAGCUUGCAGUGGGUACGGGCAGACUAGAGUGCGGUAGGGGAGACUGGAAUUCCUGGUGUAGCGGUGGAAUGCGCAGAUAUCGGGAAGAACAUCGGUGGCGAAAGCGCUCUGCUGGACUGCAACUGACACUCAGGGACGAAAGCUAGGGGAGCGAAUGGG